rnacentral:rRNA from 1 species
GCAUAUCAAUAAGCGGAGGAAAAGAAACUAACAAGGAUUCCCCUUAGUAACUGCGAAGUGAAGCGGGAAAAAGCUCAAAUUUAAAAUCUGGUGGUCUUUGGCCAUCCGAGUUGUAAUCUAGAGAAGUGUUACCCGCGUCGGACCGUGUACAAGUCUCCUGGAAUGGAGCGUCAUAGAGGGUGAGAAUCCCGUCUUUGACACGGACCCCCGAGGCUUUGUGGUGCGCUCUCAAAGAGUCGAGUUGUUUGGGAAUGCAGCUCAAAAUGGGUGGUAAAUUCCAUCUAAAGCUAAAUAUUGGCGAGAGACCGAUAGCGAACAAGUACCGUGAGGGAAAGAUGAAAAGAACUUUGGAAAGAGAGUUAAACAGUACGUGAAAUUGCUGAAAGGGAAACGCUUGAAGUCAGUCGCGUUGGCCGGAAAUCAGCCUUCCUUUUGGUUGGUGUACUUUCUGGUUGACGGGCCAGCAUCAGUUUUGACCGGUGGAUAAAGUUGUGAGGAAUGUGGCAUCUUCGGGUGUGUUAUAGCCUCGCUUCGUAUACAUCGAUUGGGACUGAGGAACUCAGCACGCCGAAAGGCCGGGGUUCGCCCACGUUCGUGCUUAGGAUGCUGGCAUAAUGGCUUUAAUCGACCCGUCUUGAAACACGGACCAAGGAGUCUAACAUGCCUGCGAGUGUUUGGGUGGAAAACCCGAGCGCGUAAUGAAAGUGAAAGUCGAGAUCCUUGUCAUGGGGAGCAUCGACGCCCGGACCAGAAGUUUACGGACGGCCCUGCGGUAGAGCAUGUAUGUUGGGACCCGAAAGAUGGUGAACUAUGCCUGAAUAGGGUGAAGCCAGAGGAAACUCUGGUGGAGGCUCGUAGCGAUUCUGACGUGCAAAUCGAUCGUCAAAUUUGGGUAUAGGGGGCGAAAGACUAAUCGAACCAUCUAGUAGCUGGUUCUGC